UCGAGAGGCUCGGGCCGACCUCCACCCUUUGUAUUCCGACUCUGUUGCCUCGGGGGCGACCCGGCCUUCGGGCGCGGGGCCCCCGGCGGUCCACUCAACUCUGCAUCCUUUGCGUCUGAGUAAAUAUUUGAAUCAAUCAAAACUUUCAACAACGGAUCUCUUGGUUCUGGCAUCGAUGAAGAACGCAGCGAAAUGCGAUAAGUAAUGUGAAUUGCAGAAUUCAGUGAAUCAUCGAAUCUUUGAACGCACAUUGCGCCCUUUGGCAUUCCGAAGGGCAUGCCUGUUCGAGCGUCAUUACACCACUCAAGCCUCGCUUGGUAUUGGGCGCCGCGGUCCGCCGCGCGCCUCAAUGUCUCCGGCUGAGCCGUCCGUCUCUAAGCGUUGUGAAUCAAUCAAUCCGCUUGCGAGGCCGGGCUGGCUGCGCGCCGUUAAACCCCCCAUUCUUCUAGGUUGACCUCGGAUCAGGUAGGGAUACCCGCUGAACUUAAGCAUAUCAAUAAGCGGAGGA
rnacentral:rRNA from 1 species